rnacentral:tRNA from 1 species
GUCUUUAUGGUGUAAAAAGCGCGUAGGGUUGUGGUCCUUAAGGUGGGUACAAGUUGCUCUAGGGGCC